AACGAACGCUGGCGGCAUGCCUAACACAUGCAAGUCGAACGAGACCUUCGGGUCUAGUGGCGCACGGGUGCGUAACACGUGGGAAUUUGCCUCGGGGUAUGGAAUAACUCAGGGAAACUUGAGCUAAUACCAUAUAAUGUCUUCGGACCAAAGAUUUAUCGCCCUGAGAUAAGCCCGCGUAGGAUUAGCUAGUUGGUGAGGUAAAGGCUCACCAAGGCGACGAUCCAUAGCUGGUCUGAGAGGAUGAUCAGCCACACUGGGACUGAGACACGGCCCAGACUCCUACGGGAGGCAGCAGUGGGGAAUAUUGGACAAUGGGCGAAAGCCUGAUCCAGCAAUGCCGCGUGAGUGAUGAAGGCCUUAGGGUUGUAAAGCUCUUUUACCCGAGAUGAUAAUGACAGUAUCGGGAGAAUAAGCUCCGGCUAACUCCGUGCCAGCAGCCGCGGUAAUGUCAC
rnacentral:rRNA from 1 species